UUAAUUUACUUUUGAAGUAUUAAAUAAUUUUGUUUUUUUAAAUGUAUUAAUUCGUGUAACUUUCUAAUUUUUUAGGUAUACAUGAACAUCUAUAUGUAUUUCAGUCAUCUCAUGUCAUCAAUUCAAAUCUCAUUGCAGCGGAAAACAUUAAUUAAACAACGUAAUGGCACAACUGCCUCAACAUAAACAACUUAUUAAAAUUUCAUUCUAGGUAGUUCCUCAACAUAAUUCAUAAUAAUACGUAACA
rnacentral:lncRNA from 1 species